rnacentral:rRNA from 1 species
UGGACUUGACAUCCUAUAAAGGAUUUAGAGAUAGAUUUGUGCUAGUUUACUAGAAUAUAGUGACAGGUGCUGCACGGCUGUCGUCAGCUCGUGUCGUGAGAUGUUGGGUUAAGUCCCGCAACGAGCGCAACCCUCGUCGUUAGUUGCUAACAGUUCGGCUGAGCACUCUAACGAGACUGCCUGGGUAACCAGGAGGAAGGUGAGGACGACGUCAAGUCAUCAUGGCCCUUAUGUCCAGGGCUACACACGUGCUACAAUGGUUGGGACAAUGAGACGCGAUACCGCGAGGUGGAGCAAAUCUAUAAACCCAAUCUCAGUUCGGAUAGCACUCUGCAACUCGAGUGCUUGAAGCUGGAAUCGCUAGUAAUCGUAGAUCAGCAAUGCUACGGUGAAUACGUUCCCGGGUCU